UUUUNUCAGGGAAGAAGCCAGUGACGGUACCUGAGGAAUCAGCCUCGGCUAACUCCGUGCCAGCAGCCGCGGUAAUACGGAGGAGGCAAGCGUUAUCCGGAAUUAUUGGGCGUAAAGCGUCCGCAGGUGGUUGUUCAAGUCCGCUGUCAAAGACCGGGGCUUAACNCNGGNCCGGCAGUNGAAACUGANCANCUAGAGGUCGGUAGGGGUAGAGGGAAUUCCCAGUGUAGCGGUGAAAUGCGUAGAGAUUGGGAAGAACACNCNNGUGGCGAANNGCGCUCUACUG
rnacentral:rRNA from 1 species